CUCUUCUAUGUCACACAGCUUGUUUGUUUCUUGGGUCUCUCUGUGUAUAUAUCAUUUUUGCCUUCUCCAUUUUUCUUUGUUUGGUUUUUUCUUUGCUCAAUCACAUUCUUUUGAAAUCUUCAGUUUAUUUUGCUUCACUGCGUUCUGCCCGUUGCCGAUUUGUUGGUUUUUUCUGGUAUUUAGGUUAUAAUCAUUCUACAUGCAUCGAAUUUUCACUUUAUUGACAAUGUCAUCUCCAUGGUUAGCUUCUUUUACAACUUAAGUAUACCCUCUGUUGUGUCUAUUCUCCGUGGUUUUCCCUUUUUAUGGGUCUUUUGAUUAAAUUUUUAUUUUUUAAUUUUGGAUCUUUAUUCAGAUUUAGUGUUUCUUCUCUUUGUCCUUGACGUGGGUAUUUUCCCCAAAAAAAUUGUUGAUUCUCAUGUGUAUGCACUUACAUUUACUAUAAGGUGAAAGCAAACAAUUGCAAAAUAUAGUUACUAGGAAGCAGCAGCCGAAGUUUCAUAUCUCAAAAUUUGCUCUACCGGAAAAAUUGCCAUACAGUGUAGUGCGGGAAGCAAAGUAGCUACAUCACACGUAUGUAAAACCUUGCAGUAUAUUCUUGGAUAUAGUGGUCUCAAAACAAAAGGUACGUUUUUAUGGCUAUGAAUUCAUAAAAAGACAUCCGACAAGGUCAUCAACUAUUUGAAUUCUCAUUUAUCUAGAUGCAAAUAUAAAGUUUGCAACGUUUAAACAAGAGAUUGGAAUAAGCAUGUUUGGGGAGAGAAAAAGGAAUAAAUGAUCCAAGAGACCCCAUAUUCCUAUCUUGACAACUACUUUUCUGUUUAUUCAGUCAAUUACAGAUGACUACUCUGUUACAGGUAGACUACUGGACCAUAAAGUCAAACAGUCAAUAACUCGGCCUAGGAGUGUUUGAACUAGAGGAUCUUUUAUGAUCUACCAUCAGGAACUCAAUCCAAAAGUGUUUGAACUAGACUAUCUUUCUUGAUCUACCAUCUAACUUAAAAAAAAUUUCCUGAGUUUUUCUAUUUUUAAAAUAGGCAAAUAUGUGAUGAUUUUUUGCUUCAAAUGCUAUCGAUCCAAAAGAUAAAAUAUAUUAUGCUGGUAAUACAAGAAAAUAUGGUCAUUAAUGACACAAUAAUUAGUAUUUUUCUUCUUUUUAAAACAGAAAGUAUCAUUUUCCCUAUUUUAUAAAUUUAGUGUAAAUGCGACGAUUAAAGUCUCAUUCUAUUUUGGUGUUUUCUCCUGAGAGAUGAGUUUGACUUGAUUUUUCCUCAAAGAUUAAAGUGAGUUGCAUUUUUGAGGGAAAUACUUAUUCGAAUGAACAUAUUUUCUUGAAAAAUAAUUGUUUCUUGAGCGAAUUCUCGAUUUAGCUGAAGAGUUUAAUGGUGAGUUUGAUCUUCCCUUCAAAGAUGAAUCUUGAAGAGGCCGUGAUGAUAAUUGCUUUCCUGAGCUAUAAAAUUAUUUGAAAACAGAGACAAUCAAACCCUUAUAUAUCUUGGCAUGGUAAAACCACAAUAGUAUGUGAUUUGAGGCUUUUCUAUCACAUGCAAUAGUUUCUCGCCCUAUAAGAAAAAAAAUUGAGUCUCAAUUGUUUUCUUGUUAAGUUCUUGUUGGACUCUUAAAAAUAUAGACCUACGGAUUGCGAUUACUAUAUUUCAUCUGUGUGCAUUUUAGUAAAUGUUAAUUCCACCCUGGUGGAUAAGUCUUGAUGGUUGGAUAUUAUCAUUAUUUGAGGUUCUUACCUCUUUGUUUCUUUUCCAUCUACAAAUUACUUAGUUAGCCAUUGAGAAGCAUCUUAGUGAAAGGUGCAUUUUGCAUUAACUAGAUUGGUGUUUCUAGAUCUAUUAUCAAGUAGUCAUUGAGAAUAAGGUGAAACUAAAGUUUACAUAUCUGGAAAACGAGAAUUCACAACUAUUGCGGCUGGCGCAAUGCUACCGUGAUACCAGUAAGUAACAUUGAUUACCGAAGUCUUAUCGAUGUAUAUAUAAAGCAUUAGCGAUACCAUUCACAUUCAUAUAUUGUGAAAGUGUAUAUUCGUGAUUUAUAAUUUCUGGUGCACUGGAGAAGGUGAAUCAAUUCAUAUAUGAAGAUACCAACUCAAUAUCUUCUAUCAUUUAAAGAAAAUUUUGUUUUAUGUUGAGUGCACUAAUAUCAUACGACAUUGAAAGUUGGUUUAGUAUUGCUUAGAUCCAGGUUGUUCAUAGGUCCCCGUUUUUUUUUAAAUAUUCGUUCUCCGAUCUUUUACAGUGUUUGAGUUUAGAAGACCUUAGUUUAUAAAGGUUUUCUGUAAAAUUCUAUUUGUCCCAUUUAAAGCCAUUGAAAAGCAUAUAACAAGUGACAAGUGUCUGUUUAGUGAGAUCCUGGAAGAAUAAAAUGCUUCUCUAGCUUACAUAUAGGUAUAUCUUCUCUCUUGUGAUAAUUCUCUAUACCCCAUCUUUCAAGGAUGUGAGUAAUCAUUUUUCAAUUCGAGGUACUUAUCAAUUAGUUAAGGACUCUUCCUCAGACAGCAUCUUCCACUUUCAAUUCAGCAACAGUGAUAAUUCAAGAGACUGUAGAAGUAUGUCAUCUGUGUAUGAAGUUUUUCUUUAGAUUUUGUAAAGAUUCCAAUGUCAUAUUUGUAACUGUUGUAUCAAUAUCUCUCAACCAGGCAAGGUAAACGAUUCAGAGCUCCGAGAAAAAGCUAUUUAGAGGUUGGAAUAGUCGUUGAAAAUUAGAAUUGCUGCAAAUAGCUCAUCUCUCACAAUGUAUAUUUCAUAAUAUUUUGAAUAUCAUGUAGAACUUUUUUCCAGAAUGCAUGAAAAAACUGUGAAGUGUUAACAUGUUGUGCACAUUGAAUCAACUUGAUAGUAUUACUUCCUUUCUGGUGAUUAUACUAUACACUUUAAGCAAGUAUGAUUUUUUUUUGGUGUUGAAUUUUUUAAAUUAAUCUUGUAGAUGUGCCACAACCAAUGGUGUCGGGCAUAAGCCCGUGUGAUCCACGGGCACCGGCCAUCUAGUAUUGAUAUAAUUAAGUAAUUUGUGGCUAUAUACGAGCGAAUUGGUGGUGGAAUCAAGAGGUAAAGCGGUAGUUGAGGCAUGAAUUGUAUU